rnacentral:rRNA from 1 species
UACGUAGGGUGCGAGCGUUAAUCGGAAUUACUGGGCGUAAAGCGCGCGCAGGCGGCUCCUUAAGUCAGAUGUGAAAGCCCCGGGCUUAACCUGGGAACUGCGUUUGAAACUGGGGAGCUGGAGUGUGGAAGAGGGGGGUGGAAUUCCAGGUGUAGCAGUGAAAUGCGUAGAGAUCUGGAGGAACACCGAUGGCGAAGGCAGCCCCCUGGGCUAACACUGACGCUGAUGCACGAAAGCGUGGGGAGCAAACAGG